rnacentral:rRNA from 1 species
ACAGCAGUCGCCGCGGGAAUACGGAGGGUGCAAGCGUUAAUCGGAAUUACUGGGCGUAAAGCGCACGCAGGCGGUCUGACAAGUCAGAUGUGAAAUCCCCGGGCUUAACCUGGGAACUGCAUUUGAAACUGUCAGGCUGGAGUCUUGUAGAGGGGGGUGGAAUUCCAGGUGUAGCGGUGAAAUGCGUAGAGAUCUGGAGGAAUACCGGUGGCGAAGGCGGCCCCCUGGACAAAGACUGACGCUCAGGUGCGAAAGCGUGGGGAGCAAACAGGAUUAGAUACCCCGGUAGUCCCUGUCUCUUAUAC